AUGAACGCUGGCGGCGUGUCUAAGGCAUGCAAGUUGAACGGGCCUCGCAAGAGGUCAGUGGCAAACGGGUGCGUAACACAUUGGUAACCUACCUCGAAGUCGUGAAUAAUCUGUCGAAAGGCAGACUAAUACACGAUGGCCAAGAAAUGACGCAGGUCAUUUCUUGUAAAGAUUUAUCGCUUCGAGAGGGGCCUAUGCCCUAUCAGCUAGUUGGUGAGGUAAUGGCUCACCAAGGCUUUGACGGGUAGGGGGCGUAAGAGCGCGACCCCCCUCACUGGGACUGAGACACUGCCCAGACUCCUACGGGAGGCUGCAGUCGAGAAUAUUCCUCAAUGCACGAAAGUGUGAAGGAGCGACGCCGCGUGCCAGAUGAAGCCCUUCGGGGUGUAAAUGGCUUUUUUCAGGGAAGAAUUCUGACGGUACCUGAAGAAUAAGUGGUUGCUAACUCUGU
rnacentral:rRNA from 1 species